UGGGCUCAGGGCCCUGCCCCCCGUCCAUGAGGUGCAGGUCCACAGCAGGGUGCACAGGCCAGGCUGGGCUCGGGGCAGCUCCACGGCCUCUCGCCACGGACGUCCAGCUCUGCAUGGUGGUCUUGCUCUGCGAGUGCUCCAAACACUGGAACUCGUCAACCUUCAGAUCGGGUGUUCCUUGAAGCUACUGUCCCAUCUCUGGUCCUCCUUCCUCUGGCACUUCUGGAACGAUAGUGUGUCUGGGGGCGCGAUGCAGUCCAGCUACCCCAGCUCACCAGGUCCAGCUCCUCCCAAAUACUCGAUCGCCUCUUCCCAGAUUAGCUCUUCGUAGAGAAGUGGGUCUCAGGCUGCCUGGUCCAAAAGCCAACCCCGCCAGUCACCCGUCUACUCUGCCUCUGGACUUUCACAGAGUGUGCGGCCCGGUCGACUGUCUACCUAGAAACUGAGCGAUCUGUGGGCAUUGCCGCUACUGAAGGCCUUCAAGGGCAGGGUGAUGCUCCAUCAGGAUUUUGGAGAAUCCACUGGGCGGGAGCAAAGAUAUCUGUAACAGGGAGAGAAUUAGAACUCGGCCCUGGAAGACUCCGCCCUGAACGUGCAGCCACAAAAAGAUCAGAAUUCUCUGCAGGCCAAGACCUUACAUUUUGGAGCUUGAAAUGCCCACAGUCUGACUCCUGUUCUCUGAGCUCUGUGGUGUCAUCCGUUCUCUGAGGCAGGAAGCAGGGGAUACUGGAGGGACCAUGGGGUCCAGGGAUCUACGAAGAAAACAAGGCUUAGUCAAACUGCAGAAAACCGUGGGCAAAGAACACUGGGGGAAUGUUUGCUUAAAUUUUAGUGGACUUGUUUUUAGGUGGUGGGGAUCUGGUUUUCUUUGUCUUUUACUUAAAAAAAUUUUUUUCAACAUUGAACAUGAAUUACUUUUAUAAUUAGGAGGAAAAAAACCCCCACACCAAUGAAUUAUAAAAAAGACCCACUGUGUUUCAUUCUUCAGUGCAUCUGGUUUGGACCUGAUUGCAGCGUGUGCAUUCAGAAAUGCCCAUCCAAUCUUUCGUUUCAUCUUCGUAAAGACCCAAGUUGAAGAACUGAUUCCAAAUCUGAUCAUUCAUCUCCCUCUGGCCACCAGUCAGCGUAUACCUACUUCCGGGGACUCGGAAUGCAGCAACCGGCAAAGUAAAUAGUUUCUGUCCUCGUGAAGUUUGUGGUCUUUGAGGGCCCAACCUGGUGGAUGUCUGGAUCUGACCACUGGAGUCCCGGUUCUGAACAGGCAAACCUGGGAACAGCCCCAUGAUGGAUGGUAUGCUCAUGAGGCUAAUUUUUCUCCAUGCUAUUACAUGUAACAGUAGCAGAAAAGUACAGUCAAUCCUUAUUAUUUGCGGAUUCCAUAUUUGCCAAUUUACCUAUUCACUAAAGUUUAUUUGUAAGCUCCAAAUCAAUACUCCCGAUAAUUUUUUCAUCAUUUGUGUGGACGUGUGCAGAGUGGCCAAAAAUUUGAGUUGCCUGAUGCACACGAUUCCAGCUGAGGUUGAGCAAGGUGACACUCUGCCUUCUUGUCUUGGCCUCAUACACAGAGGACCGGAGGAUGGAGACGGGAGGGGCAGGGCAGUGGAGAGUAAGAAGCUCCAGCUUGGGGGCCAGCUGGAUGGGGUUCGAAUCCCAACUCUGGCACCUGUUAGUGGGACGGCCUCAGGCAAGUCAUUUAACACUUCUGAACCUCGUUUGCUUUUUCUUUUGUAAAAUAAAGUAGGAUCUGCCUGGAUGAGUCGUUUUUAGGAUUGAGGAUUACAAUCGAUGCGAGAUAUGAUUAUGCUGUGUAUAUGUUCCUGCCUCCCCUAGGAGCAUGGUUCUGUAUCCACUCAUUCAGCGUUCAUGACGACUUUAUGGACUCUAACUAAUGAGAAGAAUGAGAAUCGAUUCUACUUGGCUUGGAGGUCUCCAGCCAAAGAGGAGCCUGUUGGGUGGACAUCUCACAGGGUGACAGUUCUGUCCCCUGAGGACUGGGGGUUGUGUGGGGCAGGAGGAGGAGAAAUGCUGAGGAAUGUCUUGGUUGGCUCAGGCUACUCUAACAAAAUAUCACAGACUGGGCGGCUGAAACAACAGAAAUGUGUGUCUUAACAUUCUGGAGGCUGCGGAGUCCAAGAUCAAGAUGCCAGCUGAUUCGGUUCCUGGUGAGACUCUUUCUGGCUCGCAGACGGCUGUGUUCCCCUCGUAUCCUCAUAUGAUGGAGAGAGAGAGAGGGAGAGGAAGUAAGCUUUCCUGUCUCUUCUUAUAAGCCACUAAUCCCAUCAUGAGGGCUCCACCCUCAUGACCUAAUAACCUCUCAAAGGCCCCAUCUCCAAAUAGCAUCCCAAUGGGGAGUGGGCUUCACUAUAUGAGUUUGGGAGGAAUGCAAAGAUUCAGUCCAUCGCAAGGAGAGAGAACCGUUGCCCUGCAGGCAGUCCUGGAUAAGGAGAGAGAGAGAGACAUCCGGGGGGUCAGGGAAGCCGAUAAGGCGUUCAGCACUUGGGGAGAAAUGGGGAGAAGGUGCGGAGAGGGAGAUGGAGGCUGCUGAGGACACAUGUUUCCAUGGCGUGGCGAGCAGCCCUCCAGCUGCCGCACCAACACCGCGUUGCAGGAGCGUAAAUUCAGUUAUAUUUAUAACUUCUUCCCUGGGAUAAAAAUUGAGUUAUUUUUUUAGAUAUGGUUUUAUUUUCAUUUUCAAUUACCAUUUUUCCCCCUGACUUAUGGAUGCUUUGGAGCUUAAAAGAACAGCUCUUGGGAUGUGGCCACUGCAUCUGCGUCAUAGCCGACAACCACUAUCUAAAUCCUUCAUUACUAGGGAGAGAUUUAUUUUCCCAAGUCUUCAAUCUUAGCUGAGUGGAAUAUUUAAUAGAAUUGCUGGUUUCUGUGGCUGUCUCUUCCUCUUUUCCCUACCAGGCUGGCCUGGGAGUCCACUGCAAACCGUCGGGGCUGAAGUUCGGUCUCCUUGCUGGCCUUCUGCAGCAAUGCUGCCCAGAACUGAGGGGAGCAGGUGGUGGUGCAAAGCCCUGCCCCUUGUCUGGUGUUUUGGACUGAAUUGUGUCCCCCUACUACUCCCCGCCCAAUUUACAUGUUGAAGCUCUAACCUCCAAAGUGACUGUAUUUGGAGACUAGGCUUCUAAGGCUGAGUAAGGUUAAAUGAGGUCGUAGGGGUGGGGCCCUCAUCUACUAAGACUGGUGUCCUUGGAAGAAGAAGAGGAGACGCCAGAGCUUGCUUCCUCUGCACCUGUGCACAGAGCAAAGGCCACGUGGGGACAGGAAGGUGGCCUCCUACAAGACAAGGAGACAGUUCUCACCAGAAAGCCAUGCCACUGACAUCUCGAUGUUGGACUUCAGCCUGCAGAAUGGUGAGAAAAUAAUGUCUGUGGUGUAAGUCACCCCGUCUGUGGUGUUUUGUUAUGGCAGCCCGAGCUGACUAAUACACCUGGUAAUGAGGAGUGGAAUCAGGGCCACCCCACUUUGUGUCUUGGAGCAGGCCUUGUGGGUUGCC